UUUUGUGGUAGUAAGUAGUCUGGUUGUUUAUAUUAUUAAAAUCAGUUGAUUAUUUAUUUGUCUGUUGAUUGUAAGAAAAUUUAGUUUGUCUCACCUUCGCCCUUUUUCAUUUUUUAAUGUGCCCCCAUAUUUGGCUCUUGUUCCAAUCAAGUCUAUAAUCUCAGAAAUAAUACAAAAAUCAUACACGGAGCUCAGAGAACGCGAGGGAGUCAAGACAGGAGAAACUGAGAGGAAUACCGAUUGGCAGACAAAUCUCUAUAGAUAUACAUGUGUAUGCCUAGAAAAAUGCUCAGUAGUUCAGUUCAACGACGUGGACGACACUUUUGCCUGCUGGGUGCUGGGAAGUUGCUUUGGUGGUUGAUCAUUUUUAUUGUUGCUGUUUUUUUUUUUUUUGUUUUGUUUUGUUUUGUUUUGUUUUGUUUUAUUUUUUGAUGAUAGCGCCAGACGUCAUAGUUGUGAAAACUGAAGCAUCUAAAUGUUUAAAAUCAUAAUGCUAAUAUAGAAACCAUAAGAAAA